rnacentral:rRNA from 1 species
GUAUAUUAGCUUGAAUAAAAUUAAUUUUGUUAAAAACAAUGUAGUUUUAUACUAAUCAAAAUAUUGGUAAUAAGAAAUAUUUGGAAGUACGGUUAAAGGAAACUAAUUUAGAAGCUAUAGAGAAAGUACUGUGAAGGAAAAUUGAAAUAAUGUGAAAAAAUAAAAUAAUAAUAGAAAAAAUUAUAAGUUGUACCUUUUGUAUAAUGGUUUAACCAGGGAAGUUUAGACAAGUUUUAUUCCCCGAAAUUAGGUGAGCUAACCUUUUCUACUUUAAAGAAGGAUGGUUUUUACUGUUACAUUAGUAAGACUUGAGGAGAGGUUAGGUGUGAAAUGCUUAUCGUACUUAAUUAUAGCUGGUUUUUUGAGAAAUUGGUGUAAGCUGAUGGCACAGGUUUAUUGCGGAUUAAAAUUUUUUAGAAUAAAAAUUAGAGAAGGAUAAUUAAUGUGUUUUUUAGACAAGGAAGGAUAAGCUUGUUUGUUGAAAAAGAAAAAACUUUUUUUACUAGUUAAGGAUUUUUUGGGAUAUAUUAUAUAAUAAUAAUAAAGGUAGGAUUAAUACCAUCUACCCUUUUUGAGGGCGUUAAAGUUCUUCUUAUAAAAAUAAUAUAGAAAAUAUUCGAGGGAAGGUCCGAAGUUGUAGGUUUUUAUCAGGAAAUUUUAUUUUUUAGAAGUUAUAAUGUUAAAAUAAGUAAAAGAAAAGAGAUUUUUUGGGUGUUAAUCAGACCUAACCUUGGAUGGUAAAAUUAAUGAAAGGGUCAAGAACCUAGAUUUUUUAGCUGUCUUCCAACUCAGGGGAUCUCAUAAAAACAUAGAAUUAAGGAAAAGGAACUCGGCAAAUAAAAAUUUCGCCUGUUUACCAAAAACAUCGCCCCUUGAAAAGGAAUUUAUGGAUAGGGGGUCCUGCCUGCCCAGUGACUUUAGUUAAACGGCCGCGGUAUUUUGACCGUGCGAAGGUAGCAUAAUCAUUUGUCUCUUAAAUAGAGACUGGUAUGAAUGGCAAGACGGAAAUUUGGCUGUCUCUUUUUUAAUACUUUGAAAUUAAUAUUUUUGUGAAGAAGCGAAAAUUGUGUCGUAGGACGAGAAGACCCUAUCGAGCUAAAAGUUGAAUGACAGUGCAAAAUCCUAGGUUCAUUAACUAAUUUAGUUUUUUAAUUAUGAUGAUUUUAUUAGUGAAGUUUUCAGGUGCAUUUUAUGUUUGUUUUUUAAUUUUGAUUGGGGCAAUCACGGAGAAUAGGAAUCCUCCGUUAUAAAAAGUAAAAUUAAAAAGUACUUUUUUAAUUGAAAUACGUAUAUUAUUGUUUAUAUGAUCCACUUUAAUAGUGAACAAAGGAAAAAGUUACCGUAGGGAUAACAGCGUAAUUCUUUUGGAGAGUUCAUAUUGAUAAAAGAGUUUGCGACCUCGAUGUUGGAUCGAGAUUUCCAGGAGAUGCAGAAGUUUCCAAGGGUUGGUCUGUUCGACCAUUAAAAUCUUACGUGAUCUGAGUUCAGACCGGCGGGAGCCAGGUCAGUUUCUAUCCUCGAAAGGUUAUUUUUUUUAGUACGAAAGGACCAAAAAAGAAGUGCCAAUGUUUAAAAGUAAGCACUAAAAAGGAUUUCUGCUUAAAACUAAAGGUUAAGAAAGUGACUCGUUAUUUCCCCAGAAUUGUCU